CGGGAGAGGAGACCCGGGCUAGGAGGAGCUGAGGCAGCGGCGGUGGCCGGGAUGGGGACGGCCACUGGGAUGGACGAGCGGGCGCCAGCGCCUCUCUGCAAAAUCCCCUUCCUGUGGAGAUCACCUGAGUGUGAUGCUCCGAGGAAAAGUGGGGAGGAGCAAAAGGAGAGGCUACCAUAACGCUUGGAAAAUCUAUGGGUCUGCAGCUGGUCUCACUCGUGAGACAUCAUGGGACGUGAUUGAUGGCAGCCUGGGAGAGAUCAGGACCAGGUCGUACCCUUUGCCGGAGCACCCAAGCCCAGCCCUGUCUCCACCACUUCCUCAUGCCCUUCUCUACAAAUUCCUCCUUGAUCCGAUGUCAUGACUGCCCUCCCAGGCUCCCAGCAAGCGGGUUGUUCUCAAGACCUUUCCAUGAACAGAAGCAGAGGGUCCCCAAAGCCCACGUUUGUGUCACCCUCCAGGAUUCUGUGGUGGCCACAAUAUCCAAAGAGCGCUGCAAUUUGCCUUGUUCUGCAGGCAUCCUCCCAACAGGGAGCUGGGCACGGGAACCACGGCUGGGCUUUGGUCUUCAUCACCCCACCGCCGGUUUUGGCUGAAGCUCCCAAUAUCGGUCCUAGACCUUCCCAGAUGCCUCUCUGCUUCCAGUCACAGGCAUCGGUGAACUGGCUGCCUGCAAGGCAGCCCGAGGAAAAAGAAAGUGGUGUGGGUCACUCAGGAAAAGCAAAGAUCUGCCUGCAGCCCUGCCUGGGUCUUGGCAGCACCGCGCCACAUCCCUGUGGUUACCGGGCAGUUAGCUGCAGGGGGUGUGCAGUAAUUUUUGUCAUGGGGUAUCAGUGGAAACAAAAGGCGGGCGAUGCCUGGAGUUGUUUACUGCCUGACUAGGUUGUCUGUCAAUGCAAUAUUCUGCAUGGGGCAGCAAAAAAAAAAAAACAAAAACAAAAACAAAACACUGCGGUAGCUGCCCUCCUCCGGGAUUAUUGUUCCCCAUGGGUGACACAGCCUGGGUGAUGCCGAUCGGUGCGUGGCCCUGGGCUCCCAUCACCCCAGGAUGGGAUGGGAGUCCUCAGGAAGCUCCUUGAGGAUUGGGUCUGGGGCAUGGUUACAGUGUCCCACCCAGCUCCGGAGCAGGAGAAGCCCCGUCCCCUCACCAAGGCGCAGUGAGGGCUGCUGCAGGUGCAGGAAACCACACUGCGUGUGCGUGUGCCUUGGUGUGGCCGAGCAGGAGACUUUGCUCAGCGGCGUUUUUGGCUAUAAAGCAGUAGAUUACAGUGCCAGCUGCUUUGGAGAGGAGGUGUAGGGAAAUCCUCGUGGAAAGGAGAGAGGAGAAUCACCUCUGAGCAUUUCAAAGACCCCAGGCAGCUCCCAUCCCGUUGUCUUGGCCAGACCAAUGUUUCAUGGGCAUGGCGAGGACUUGUGAUGGCUAAAAGGUACAAUUUUCCUGAAUUACUCGGGUCUGGGAAGAUCAAAGAGGAACGGGGCAAGCAUGUCUGUCUGCUACCUGCUUUGAUGGGUGGCACGGAGCCUCCCUGUGUAUUAACCCCCUCGUCUCUUGCUGGAGAGGCCAAGUGUACUUCCAAAAAGCAAACCCCAAAAAACAACCGCUGAAGGGGUGGGGAUCUGGGGAAGAAGGGGACCGGUUUUGCCUUUUCUAGGAUGGAUUCUGACAUAUCCAGUGCGAUGUCAUGGCAGGAGCUGGGUGCUCUCAGUCAGAUGCCCGGAGCAGAGAGGAAGGGAAUUGUACAAGAUUUGGCAGAACAACUAGAAAACGGGACCCUCCCGAUGGGACCUGUGGUUGUAGCAGUGCUGGGUGACCCCAGUGGGCUCAGUGGUGGCUGAGGGGGCUCCAGGGUGAUCUUCACCUCUGCCAGUCCUCUGGAUGCAGGGAGGCUCCUGGGGAGCCGGGGGAAGGGUUAAGUCGGGAAGGCUUCAGCCUGCUGCCUUGGCCCCUGUAAUUCCUCCAGAGAGUAGGACUGGGAGAACAAGGAGCCCUUUCUGUUCACAGGAAUUAAUAGCAAAGAGUCAUCUGGGGUGUCAUUCAAGCCCUGAUCAGCUCCCGGAGGAAUGUGAGGGAGAGCGAGCGAGGGAGCACGGCCCGAGGCCGAGGCACCAAAGCUGAGGCGGGAGCAGUUUGGCUGGUAACCAGCGUUACCGACCGGCAUUUGGGCAGCAGGACCGUCUUCCCCUUCACCCCAGCCUCCGUGUCCCCUCUGCCCUGUGCAGGGGCUCACCCUGAGGGCUCACACUAGCUCCUAGGCUUGUCCCUUGUUACCCAUCGCUUUGUCCCCGGGGUUGGGGGGGGGAAGAUGUCCCAACCCGUCAACGCCGCAGCCUCCCCGCCGCUGAGCCAGGAGGGACGGGCCAGGCAACCAGGCGCCAGCACAACCCCGCUGCCCUCGUGGUGGACGUGAACGCCGGCAGACACCCCUUUUCCAGGGCUCACCCAUCACCCCCAGCCUGUGAUGGCUGUGGGGUUUUUCCUCCCAAGCAAGCUUGCCCAUGGACAGGGUCUCCGGGGAGCUCUCAGGCAUGGCCGGGGACAUGGGGCAGUAGCUCAAGGGACCACAGAGUUCCGUGCUGAAGCCUUUGCUGCUGCAUCACCUUGCCCCAAUUGACGUGGUCACUGCAGUUUCAGGAGAAAGAGGUCAAGACAGUGAAAUAUCACGUUGGUGUUUCACGGCCACACAGGAAGGCUUGAAAGUGCUGCUUGGUGACAUUGAGGUGUUGCCUGUCAUGGCAACCAGCCCCGGUGGGACAAGGAGAGAUUUUGGCCACAUCUCUACUAGCCUGGGAAGGAGACCUUGGAGAGGUCCAUCCUGUCGCACGGCUCCCUGCCCGGGCUGCAUCCCGGGAGGCCCAUUAGACCACACCUGGUAGCACAAGGUGACCCAGGGCUCUGGUGAUGCAACACGGUCAGUCGUACCAUACGGACCGUGGGGUCUUGAGGGCAACCCUUCGGGUCAGCCCUAGGUGCGUGCACGGCCGCAGCACGGACCGUGAUCUAAGCUCACCAGCCUGGCCGUGAGUGCGGGCCGAGAAAUGUGAACGGAGCCGUGCUGGAGUGCACGAGUUGCAUUUGCUGGCCAAAACGCCUCUCACCAAAGCUCCCCCUCCUCCACACACACCCCAGGUCAGUGCAAAACCAGGCUUAAGCACUAGCUCUGCAUCUCAGCAUCCUCCAAGAGACGUGCGGGGCCGCCAGCACGGACUCCUCCCGCCCCCUUCCCACUCCCUGUACCAUCGCCACCACCACCUCCACAAUGAGCACGCCUUGUCAUAGAGGGGUUAAUAAAUGAUGCAAGAAAGGAGCCUUUUAAUGCACGGUGACCUUUGGCCUUUCAUAAAUCACAGUGUUGGGCUGCAAGUGCGCAGGGGGCGCGAGGCGGUGGGGGGAGAGUAUGGGAGGGGGUCCACGCAGCUGCGCCACGAAGUUGACAUUGUUCCCACCAUCACUAAAGUGCAACAAAUCCCUC